UAGGGCUGAAGGAAAAAAUCAGGCUUUUUAAAGCAAGGUACCAAGUCUGAAGUUCGCUAGAGCAUUAAACAUUCCAUAUUUUAGCUUAUGGGAGCCUGUGGAUGCAGUUGAUAGUUGAUUCUGAAAGUGCUGAAAUUACGGAUCAGCACGUUCAUGAAGUAGAGGAGGCGGCAUUGACUUCAAGUCUUUGUCCUCAACAGAUUGCAAAGAUGUUUUCCCUGUUGCCCACUGUGACACCACUACGGCUAGAUACUCUUACUACUAGGGCAGGAGCAUCAUCAGGACUAUGGCUCGUUGUGUUGCUGCCAUUGGCAUGUAGCCCUGGAUUCUAUGCUACCUUUAUGCAGUGCACACCUUCCCCUAGACUCUUGUCUCUUUUGGC